UCAGAUCCUAUUUCGGUAUUUGCUUGAUUUGUGAUUUUGGGUUAUUUUGCUGCUAUAAGCACUUUGGAUUAGCGUUUCGGUUAGUUUUCUUUGUCUCAACAAAUGGCAGACAAUAAGAAUAUUAUUUCUGAUGUGAUUCCGGUUAUGACUAAGAUCACGGAACACAAACUUAAUGGUUCGAAUUACCUGGAGUGGAGUAAGACUGUUAGGGUCUAUUUGCGUAGCAUUGAUAAGGAUGAUCACCUUACUAAAGAUCCACCCACUGAUGAUACACGACAAACUUGGCUAAGGGAGGAUGCUCGAUUGUUUUUGCAGCUUCGGAACUCGAUUCAUAGUGAGGUAAUUAGUUUAAUUAAUCACUGUGAAUUUGUUAAGGAAUUGAUGGAUUACUUAGAUUUUCUGUAUUCUGGUAAAGGGAAUAUCUCCCGUAUUUAUGAUGUUUGUAAGGCAUUCUACCGUGCUGAGAAAGAUGAUAAGUCUCUCACGGCUUAUUUUAUGGAUUUUAAACGGGUAUAUGAGGAACUUAAUGUAUUGUUGCCUUUUAGUCCUGAUGUGAAAGUUCAGCAGGCCCAACAGGAGCAACUGGCUGUUAUGAGUUUUCUUGCAGGCCUUCCUUCAGAGUAUGAGACUGCUAAAUCUCAGAUUCUCUCCAGUUCUGAGAUUUCCUCUUUGCAUGAAACGUUCACACGGGUCCUUCGUACAGAGAGUACUCAAUCUUCACAGCCUGCCAGUAGUGCUCUUAUUAGCCGUAAUCCAAAUGGACAACAGGGUAAUAGAAGAGGAAGUAGAGGAGGAAUUACAGGCAACAGAAGUAAUCAGCGUAAUGGAGAGGCUAGUUCUAAUCAGGACUCAAGAUGAGUCAUUUGUUAUUAUUGCCAUGAGCCUGGCCAUACAAAAUAUAAUUGUCCGCAACUUCAGAGAAAAAAAUCAGCGAUCACAGAUAGCAAAUAUGGCAGCAGAGAAUUCUACAGUAUCUUCCUCUGAGAAAACUAUUUUGGUAUCUGCAGAGGAUUUUGCACAAUUUUCCCAGUAUCAGGCAUCUCUAAAGCCUACCAGUUCCCCUGUCACUGCGAUCGCUGAGUCAGGAUCUUACGACGAAGCAAAUUAUUGGUAGAGGACGCGAGUCAGGUGGUCUCUACAUUCUGGAAAAUCAUGUACCGCGGUCGCUUGUUUGCUCCAGUACCUUAACACCUCUUGAAGCUCAUUGUAGAUUGGGUCAUCCUUCUUUGUCUACCAUGAAGAAGCUGUGUCCUCAAUUUCAGUCUUUAUCAGUACUAGAAUGUGAGUCGUGUCAGUUUGCAAAACAUCAUUGUUUGCCUUCUGUG